UACGUAGGUGGCAAGCGUUGUCCGGAAUUAUUGGGCGUAAAGAGCGUGUAGGCGGCUUGGUAGGUCCGCUGUGAAAACUCGAGGCUCAACCUCGAGAUGUCGGCGGAAACCACUUGGCUAGAGUCCGGAAGAGGAGAGUGGAAUUCCUGGUGUAGCGGUGAAAUGCGCAGAUAUCAGGAAGAACACCUAUGGCGAAGGCAGCUCUCUGGGACGGUACUGACGCUGAGACGCGAAAGCGUGGGGAGCAAACAGG
rnacentral:rRNA from 1 species